rnacentral:rRNA from 1 species
CUGUCUCAGUUCGGAUUGGAGUCUGCAACCCGACUCCAUGAAGCUGGAUUCGCUAGUAAUCGCGCAUCAGCCACGGCGCGGUGAAUACGUUCCCGGGCCUUGUACACACCGCCCGUCAAGCCAUGGAAGCCGGGGGUGCCUGAAGUGCGCUGCCGCAAGGAGCGUCCUAGGGUAAAACCGGUGACUGGGGCUAAGUCGUAACAAGGUAUC